UCCUGACCCAGCCGCAGUCUCUUACACGCAUGUUCCUUCCAAAUGCUUCCAAAUGUGUCACAGCAACGCCCCGCACCCCAAGAGUGAUGCUUCGAGAGACUCCCCUGCCAUCUAAAGCUCGCUCUUUAGCACAUGGAUUACAUUUAAUUCCCGGGAUUUGUGUGUGUCAUUUCUAACAACAGCUGAUGCACGGGGGUCCAGGAAGGCUUCCAGGCCUAGGAUGGAAGUUCACUGUCAGCUUUUUUCCAUAAAGCAAAGGGAGAAUGGCCAAGGAGUGCAUGCUACCUAGAAUGUGGGCUACUCAGAAUGCUGGACUUACGGGAGCAGGGAGACUGGCGACUCUCCAACCACACACACAAAGUUGUGAGUGUGCCCAGCUUACAGGAGACCCAGGGUUGACGGACACACAGCCACCCCUGCCUAAAGGACACCUCGGCAGAAACAAGGGCAGAAAAAUAGGAGAGAGGAAGCCCACCCCAAGGAGCUCAUCCUGGAGGGAAAGGCCAAGUUUCAA
rnacentral:lncRNA from 1 species